rnacentral:ncRNA from 1 species
GCAAGUCUCAGCCUACCAGUGAAAACGCCCCCAACCCCGCUCGGGACAAGGAGCCGGUAUCAGGCACAAUUACUCGCCCAAGACACCUAGCUAAGCCACACCCACAAGGGUUAUCAGCAGUAAUUAACAUUGAAAAUUAACAGCAGUUAGAUUCAGUUAGGGUGACAUAGAGCUGGCCAACCCGGUGCCAGCCGCCGCGGUUACACCGGGGGCUCAAAUUGAUAUUUACCGGCGUAAAGCGUGAUUAAAGAACCCCCUGCUCCCCACUAGAAUUUAACCUAAACUGGGUAGUGAUAAGCCUGUCUUAGGGAGAUUCAGACAACGAAAGUUAUUCUAGCCACCUCUUAAUUCACGACAGCCAAGACACAAACUGGGAUUAGAAACCCCACUAUGCUUAGCUGUAAACUUUAACCUACACCCAAAUCGCCAGGGAACUACGAGCCAUGCUUAAAACCCAAAGGACUUGACGGUACCCCAUAUCCACCUAGAGGAGCCUGUCCUAUAACCGAUGAUCCCCGUUCAACCUCACCCCUUCUAGCCUCUCAGCUUGUAUACUUCCGUCGUCAGCCCACCUCGUGAGCGCCAUUUAGUGAGCCCUUAGCUUAGUCCGCUCAUACGUCAGGUCAAGGUGCAGCACAUGAAGGGGGAAGAGAUGGGCUACAUUCUCUAACUUAGAGUACACAAAUGACUGCAUGAAACCCAGUCGGAAGGCGGAUUUAGAAGUAAAAGGAAAAUAGAGUGUUCUUUUUAAUUUGGCACUAGGGUGUGUACACACCGCCCGUCACCCUCCUCAAAGCCACCAGUCAGUAACUAACACCAGACAGCCCCUAAGAGGAGGUAAGUCGUAACAUGGUAAGCAUACCGGAAGGUGUGCUUGGAAA